AACAUACCGAUAGUGUACGAGUACUGUGAAGGAAAGUUGAAAGAGAUAAUAUAUACUUAAAUGAAAUAGAUUCUGAAAUUUGUUAUUUACAAGCAGACGAAAUUCGUCGUACCUUUUGCAUAAUGGGUUCGUGAGAAAAAUAUUUGGCAAACUUAAGUAUAUAAACGCAGGUGAAGUGAAAAUGAGUUUUAAUAUUAAGAGCUUUAGUCAAAUAGAGCCCGAAACCUAGUGAGCUAACCAUGGGCAGUUUGAAGCGUCUCUAAUAGGAAGUGGAGGAACGAACUGGUGAUUGUGGCAAAAAUCUCAGAUGAUCUGUGGUUAGGGGUAAAAAGCCAAUCGAACUAGGAAAUAGCUGGUUUUCUGCGAAAGCUAUUUAAGUAGUGCGUCAUCUAACUAUUCUUACAGAGUAAAGCACUGAAUGGAGACAUCUAUAGGGUGUAUUCAACCAAACUAUGAAAGUGUAAGAAGAAAGAUGAUAGACAGACAGCGGGCGAGAAGGUCCCUUGUCAAAAAGGAAACAACCUAGACCAGAAGUUAAGGUCAUAAAAAUUUACUAAGUGUAAAAGGAGCCUAUACAUCGAGACAACAAGAAAGUGGGCUUGGAGCCAGCCAUCUUUGAAAGAUUACGUAACAGUUCACUUGAUAAAUUUAUGGGUUUCUAAAAUUUUGGUGGCUUAAGUUUAUUUUAAGAUAACCGAGACUCUGGAUAAAUGGUAGCAGAACGUUCUGUAAUUUAUAAAUUACGAAAGUUUAUCAGAAGUGAUAAUGCGAGCAUGAGUAAACAACAGUGUGAGAAUCACUGUCAUAGCCCUAGGUUUCCAAUAGUAGAGAUUAUCAUGAUUGGGUUAUACAGCCCCUAAGAGUAUAUCAAUGGGAAAAAAUUAAUAAGUGAAAAGUUUAAUUUAAUAAGCUGUACUUAAACUAACACAAGUGGGCGUAAAGUGAUGGUAUAAUUUAUCUUAAGGAACUCGGCAAAAUGACCCUGUAAGAUAGCGAGAAGGGGUGCCUAAUCGGCGCAAUCCUUUUAUUGCGCCGAUUAGGCUUCAGAAAAGAGGGGGUGUCGACUGUUUACCAAAAACAUAGCUUCCACCAAAGGCCUGUGAGGCUGAAGCAUUGGAGGUGAGGCCUGCCCAGUGGUUGUAUCUCAACCCAUGUUAUUAAUGAAGUAACAUGAUUAAGGACAAUUAAAUGGCCGCGGUAAAUCUGACCGUGAUAAUGUAGCGCAAUCAAUAGCCAAUUAAUUGUUGGCAAGUAUGAAUGGCGUAACGAAUGCCCCACUGUCUCAAGAUAAAAACCAAUGAAAUUGAAAUCGUGGUGAAGAUGCCACGUGCAAAUUGUAAGACGAGAAGACCCCAUUGAGCUUUACUGGAGGCUUAUAUUGUUUUUUUCAAAUUAAUGUGU
rnacentral:rRNA from 1 species